AGAGUUUGAUCAUGGCUCAGAGUGAACGCUGGCGGUAGGCCUAACACAUGCAAGUCGAACGGCAGCGCAGGAGAGCUUGCUCUCUGGGUGGCGAGUGGCGGACGGGUGAGGAAUGCAUCGGAAUCUACUCUUUCGUGGGGGAUAACGUAGGGAAACUUACGCUAAUACCGCAUACGACCUACGGGUGAAAGCCGGGGACCUUCGGGCCUGGCGCGAAAGAAUGAGCCGAUGCCCGAUUAGCUAGUUGGCGGGGUAAGAGCCCACCAAGGCGACGAUCGGUAGCUGGUCUGAGAGGAUGAUCAGCCACACUGGAACUGAGACACGGUCCAGACUCCUACGGGAGGCAGCAGUGGGGAAUAUUGGACAAUGGGCGCAAGCCUGAUCCAGCCAUACCGCGUGGGUGAAGAAGGCCUUCGGGUUGUAAAGCCCUUUUGUUGGGAAAGAAAAGCAGUCGGUUAAUACCCGAUUGUUCUGACGGUACCCAAAGAAUAAGCACCGGCUAACUUCGUGCCAGCAGCCGCGGUAAUAC
rnacentral:rRNA from 1 species